rnacentral:rRNA from 1 species
GAUGAACGCUGGCGGCGUGCCUAAUACAUGCAAGUCGAGCGAACGGACGAGAAGCUUGCUUCUCUGAUGUUAGCGGCGGACGGGUGAGUAACACGUGGAUAACCUACCUAUAAGACUGGGAUAACUUCGGGAAACCGGAGCUAACACCGGAUAAUAUUUUGAACCGCAUGGUUCAUAGGUGCAAGACGGUCUUGCUGACACUUAUAGAUGGAUCCGCGCUGCAUUAGCUAGUUGGUACGGUAACGGCCUACCAAGGCAACGAUGCAUAGCCGACCUGAGAGGGUGAUCGGCCACACUGGAACUGAGACACGGUCCAGACUCCUACGGGAGGCAGCAGUAGGGAAUCUUCCGCAAUGGGCGAAAGCCUGACGGAGCAACGCCGCGUGAGUGAUGAAGGUCUUCGGAUCGUAAAGCUCUGUUAGUAGGGAAGAACAUAUGUGUGAGUAACUGUGCACAUCUUGACGGUACCUAAUCAGAAAGCCACGGCUAACUACGUG